ACAAUCUCAAUAAAAUUCAGUUGAAUUUCUUGUACACAGCAUGCUGCAACUGACAACGCUGGAGUCUGGCCUAACGGAUGCUUUUCUAAAGAGUCAAGUUCACUUGAAACUCAUAAGAGGUAAAGAGUUUUACUUCCUAAAUUCUGUAUCUACCACUAGUUAUGUGACCAUAAACAACCCAUACAAAGGUUUCUAAUUUCUAUGAUCAUUAUCUGUAAAUGAGAUGGUGUGCUUUGCCCGGAGGAAGCAACUUGCUUACUUCCUGGGAGGAUCUCUCCCAUGUUGCCCAGGUCUGUAAGUUCACAUGGUGUGCACACACACACUGUGAUCACACACUGAGGAGGAGCUGUCUGGAGUGUUCAGGGAGCAAUUGGUCCCUAAACACUUGGUAAGAAUCUGUGUGUUGAGCGGCUUUCAAACUUCAAGAGUCUACCGGUAAGUAAAACUCAAAGAAAAUGAAAGAUGAAAGAUGUAAAGUUAGCAAUUUUUGUGAUUAUAAACACAAUCAAAAACACCAAGAAAUGGACAGGAGUGUUAGCUUAGUGAGAGGUUGGUUCACUGAUGAAAUUUCCCUUUGGUAAAUUAAAUUUAAUUAUAAAUAAAUUUUUGAAGUUUUUUUUUAUAUACCUCCUAUAUUAUGUGAUCUUGAUGUAGGUCAUUUAUGACCCAUAGUGAUAUAUUUGUCCUCUAAAAGACUAGAAAUUCAGGUUAAGCUAGCUUCCACAUUUAUGUUGUGUCCAGAAAUGCAAAUGAGUAAAUAUAGACUAAAACAGAAUGUAUGUGAAAUGAUGUGAUUGUUUUUUUAGUGAUAGAAAAUCUAUGAAGUUUCAGUCAGUUUUCACAAUAUUAGCUUGUCAUAACCUCAUGCAACAUCCUAGACAUCCCAGUAUGUUUAUCUAGGCAGUGUUUCAUGAGGAGUAGGUGAACACUAGCAGAAACAAUUUGCUUCAUUAAUGUUUUUGAUGCCAUAUCAUUUACUGUUGUCUUCUUGUUAUACAAUUGUUAUGCCAGUGGAUAUACUUCUAAUUAGAUUCAAAGCAUGAAUACCCCUCUAUGACUGUAUCAGUGAAGAACAAAAAGAAAGAGAUAAAGGAUUGAGAUACAGAACUUUUACAAAACCUCUGAUAAAAAGAUUUCCACUAGAAUGUACAAAGCUGUAAAGAGACAGACCAAUCUUAAUCACAUAAUAUCAAUGGCAGGAGAGCUAAUCUGAACUCUUCAAAAGGUAAGAUGGAGAUCCACAGGUAUCCCAAAUGAAGGUAUGUAUAGCAUUAUGAUAAUUUUAACAUCUUCUAUGAACCACAAAUUUUGAUACAUUAUUUUUAUCAUAAGAUGCAAGAUCAUUAUAUGUAUACAAUAAAUUGGAAGAAUGGGUCUGAUGAAAUUUAUGUAUUUAGUAUUAUACUUGAAUAGAGCUUAAGGAAAAUAACUCAAAAUUCUGUUUUCAGUACUUGACUUCCCUCUAUUUUCCUUGUAUAUCUUCAUAUAUGUACUUCAGUAUACAAAAUUAUUUAUUAGUGAACACUCUGAAAUCAGGGUAAUUAAUUUUUAAUGACAAGUCUUAAAUGCAUAAUGUAUAACAAAUUCAUUUAUUACCUACUAGUCGUGUCCAGUUUCACAUGAAUAAUUGCAAUUUAAUGCUGCUGAAGAACAGCUGCUGCUUUUCGUCUUUCCUCUGACUUCUCUUCUUGUGCCAGUGGUCUAUCUACAGUGCAGCCUAUCCAGGCCAGAAAUUUGGAACUUUCAAAGCUGUACACCAAGUGUGUUUAUGACAUCCAUUUCACAAUGCAGAUUGAAGGUUUAUAGCAGCCGUGCAUUAAGAAGUUGAUUAGCUGGGAUGAUGAUUAGGCUUUUUACCAAUAAAGAAUUUAAAUUAAGGUACGUGUACUGGCUUUUAGACAUAAUGCUAUCACACACAUAACAGACUCAUAACUUUUAUAUGCACUGUGAAAGAAAACUUUAAUGUGCACUGGGAAACCAAAGAAUUGCGUGUGUUAAUUUAUUGCACUAUAUGCUUCAUUGUAGUGAUCUGGAGCAACCCACAAUACCUCUGAAGUAUGCCUAUAUAUUAAAUUCAUAUUAGUCUGAUUUGAGACUGAGUUCUAAUAAGUCAUUCAUGGAAAGGUAAAGAAAUAAAUGCAUUCCAGGAAAAAGGCAUAGCUUGUGAAAAGGCAUAGAAUUAUGAAUGGCACAUGCCAUUUUAUUUAUUUUUUUAAUGAGUUUUAAAAUCUUUAUUUUAUUUAUUUAUAUGUGGUGCUGAGGAUCGAACCCAGGGCCUGACCCACUAUAGGAGAGUGUUCUACCGCUGAGCCACAACCCCAGCAACACACAUGCCAUUUUCAAGAAACUUCGGGCUGUUCUCUAAGGUGGUGCCGAGGAUCGAACCCAGGGCCUGUCACGUGGUAGGCGAGC